CCUACGGGAGGCAGCAGUCGGGAAUAUUGCGCAAUGGAGGAAACUCUGACGCAGUGACGCCGCGUAUAGGAAGAAGUUUUUAGGAAUGUAAACUCUUGUUGUUAGGGAAGAGAAAGGACAGUACCUAAGGAGGAAGCUCCGGCCAACUACGAGCCAGCAGCCGAGGUAAUACGUAGGGAGCGAGCGAUAUCCGGAAUUAAUGGGUGUAAAGGGUGUGUAGACGGGAAAACAAGUUAGGUGUGAAAUCCCUCGGCUUAACUGAGGAACUGCAGCUAAAACUAUUUUUCUUGAGUGCAGGAGAGGUAAGUGGAAUUCCUAGUGUAGCGGUGAAAUGCAUAGAUAUUAGGAAGAACACCGGUGGCGAAGGCGACUUACUGGACUGUAACUGACGUUGAGGCACGAAAGUGUGGGGAGCAAACAGGAUUAGAUACCCUAGUAGUC
rnacentral:rRNA from 1 species